GAGCUCGUAGGUGGGUUUGUAAGUCAGAUGUGAAAGCCUUCUGUUCAACGGGAGAAUUGCAUCUGAAACUGCUAGUCUUGAGUAUAGGAGGGGAGAAUGGAACUUCUGGUGGAGCGGUGAAAUGCGUAGAUAUCAGAAGGAACGCCGGCGGCGAAAGCGAUUCUCUGGCCUAUUACUGACACUCAGUGUGCGAAAGCUAGGGGAGCAAACGGGAUUAGAUACCCCGGUAGUCCUAGCCGUAAACGAUGGGCACUAAGUAGAGGGGAUUACCUAUGUUCUCUCUGCCGUAGCUAACGCAUUAAGUGCCCCGCCUGGGGAGUACGGCCGCAAGGCUAAAACUCAAAAGAAUUGACGGGGGCUCGCACAAGCGGUGGAGCAUGUGGCUUAAUUCGAUGCAACGCGAAAAACCUUACCGGGGCUUGACAUGAUAGAAGUAGGAACCUGAAAGGGGGACGAACGGUAUCCAGUCCGUAGCUAUUACAGGUGUUGCAUGGCUGUCGUCAGCUCGUGUCGUGAGACGUUGGGUUAAGUCCCCUAACGAGCGAAACCCUUGUUUUUAGUUACCAGCGGGUUAUGCCGGGUACUCUAGAAAGACUGCCGUCGUCAAGACGGAGGAAGGUGGGGAUGACGUCAAGUCAUCAUGGCCCUUAUGCCCCGGGCUGCACACGUGCUACAAUGGUCGGUACAGACGGAAGCGAAGCCGAGAGGUGAAGCGAAUCC
rnacentral:rRNA from 1 species